rnacentral:rRNA from 1 species
UACGUAGGGUGCAGAGUCAUUGAAUGAAUCUGGGCGUAAAGCGCGCGCAGGCGGUUCUUUAAGUCUGGUGUUUAAACCCGAGGCUCAACUUCGGGUCGCACUGGAAACUGGGGGACUUGAGUGCAGAAGAGGAGAGUGGAAUUCCACGUGUAGCGGUGAAAUGCGUAGAUAUGUGGAGGAACACCAGUGGCGAAGGCGGACUCUCUGGGCUGUAACUGACGCUGAGGCGCGAAAGCGUGGGGAGCAAACAGG